GCACUGCAACCAACCGACGUCAACCAUAAAUAGCGAGCUAGCCAGUUGUUGUUUUGGGGGAAUAAGAAAAGAGCUGCAAGCGGAAGAAACACCGGAUUUGGGCUUUUUCCUCUUCGCUCAUUUAGUUUUUUUCAAAUUGUUUUUGUAUACACAACUGAAAUAAUGUCUACGCCCGCAAGGAGACGGCUAAUGAGGGAUUUUAAAAGACUUCAGGAAGACCCUCCCACCGGUGUGAGCGGAGCGCCGUCUGAGAACAACAUCAUGCUGUGGAACGCUGUUAUUUUUGGGCCUGUGGGGACGCCAUUCGAAGAUGGAACAUUUAAGCUGCUGAUAGAGUUUUCAGAGGAGUAUCCCAACAAGCCCCCCACGGUUCGGUUCGUCUCCAAAAUGUUUCAUCCAAAUGUUUAUGCUGACGGCAGUAUAUGUUUAGACAUUCUCCAGAAUCGCUGGAGCCCGACGUACGACGUGUCGUCCAUACUCACGUCCAUCCAGUCGUUGCUUGAUGAGCCGAACCCCAACAGCCCGGCGAACAGCCAGGCGGCGCAGCUCUACCAGGAAAACAAGAGGGAGUACGAGAAGCGGGUAACGGCCAUCGUGGAGCAGAGCUGGGUGGACGGCUGAGCGUCUUCCUCUCCAUACCCGUCGUCUUCAUCACCCUCCUCAUCAUCAUCCCUCUUCUUCAGCCGCACAUCAAGAAACAACAAAAAACAAAAUUCUCCUUCAGUCAUGACUGAACCCGAUCCGCCAACAUGAAACAGAAACCCCCCUUUCUUAAACAGAGAUGCUCAUAUUGUGGCUUGUGACUUAUUUCACCUAGUAAACAGAAUAUGCUAUCAAAUUUUGAGAAACAAAUGUAUACUUAAAAUAAUAUGCUGUAUAAACAUAAUAAAACACAUUUUUCAGACUUUGA